UGAGUAAUACAUCGGAACGUGUCUUCUAGUGGGGGAUAACUGCCCGAAAGGGCAGCUAAUACCGCAUGAGACCUGGGGGUGAAAGCGGGGGAUCGCAAGACCUCGCGCUGGAAGAGCGGCCGAUGUCCGAUUAGCUAGUUGGUGAGGUAAAGGCUCACCAAGGCGACGAUCGGUAGCUGGUCUGAGAGGACGACCAGCCACACUGGGACUGAGACACGGCCCAG
rnacentral:rRNA from 1 species